CAUCCGAGCUUCUACAGUAAGCGGCCUCCUUUUGGACUCCUACAAGAAUCGGACUCCGUCCGAACUUCUACAAAAGAUGGGCUCCAGUAGCCAGAUUUCUAUAGUGACCGACUGUCUCCGGUGUCUUCCAUACCUCUCCAGCCAUCAAUCUUCAACAGCGCUAACCGGACUUCAAUAGUGUCCUCCAGACUCCUCCAGUGGAC
rnacentral:lncRNA from 1 species